AAAUGUCAGUUUCAUAUAUACAGUAUAAUGGGCAGACUGGUGCUCCGGUCUACUGGCAGCCGCAAAGUUUAGUCAAGUAGCGCCCUGAUUAGGGAUGCACCGAUACCACUUUUUUUCAGACCGAGUACAAGUACAAGUACUUACAUUUGGAUACUUGCCGAUACCGAGUACCGAUACGAGUACUUCUCUGUGUCAAAAGAUCCUCGUUAACAGCCAGCUGGAGGGUGUGAGCGACACAUGGCAGGCUGAAGAGUUCCGCAUACGAGGUGGUGCUCCGCGACCGCGUCUAGGUUGGCUUGGAAAGGCUUGGGGCGAAGGUGGCUCGCGGCUGCAGCUUUACAGCGCUCCCCGCCCAGACCUCGCCGCACCGUGGACAAACUGCUCGCUGCACCCUCUCACCCAGCCGGGGAGGGACUGGGUCCCCUGCUCCCAGUGCGACUGUCGACCGGGGCGGACUGUCCUCAGUGCGCCCCAACCGCGUUGUGCCCCCAGGGCGGGGUUCGGCCCAUGUAAAAGGCACUAGGGGUCUGCGGUGAUGUAGGCAACCCACCCGACCCGUCUUUAAACACGGACCAAGGAGUCUAACGCACGCGCGAGUCAGAGGGUGCAAGCAAAACCCCGUGGCGCAAUGAAAGUGAGGGCUGGCAGACAGCGGCUGAGGU